rnacentral:rRNA from 1 species
GGUUAAGCGACUAAGCGUACACGGUGGAUGCCCUGGCAGUCAGAGGCGAUGAAGGACGUGCUAAUCUGCGAAAAGCGCCGGCGAGGUGAUAUGAACCCUUGACCCGGCGAUGUCCGAAUGGGGAAACCCAGUGCAAUUCGUUGCACUAUCGUUAACUGAAUACAUAGGUUAACGAGGCGAACCGGGGGAACUGAAACAUCUAAGUACCCCGAGGAAAAGAAAUCAACCGAGAUUCCCCCAGUAGCGGCGAGCGAACGGGGAGCAGCCCGGAGUCUGAAUCAGCUUGUGUGUUAGUGGAACGGUCUGGAAAGUCCGACGGUACAGGGUGAUAGUCCCGUACACGAAAAUGCACAGGUUGUGAACUCGAAGAGUAGGGCGGGACACGUGGUAUCCUGUCUGAAUAUGGGGGGACCAUCCUCCAAGGCUAAAUACUCCUGACUGACCGAUAGUGAACCAGUACCGUGAGGGAAAGGCGAAAAGAACCCCGGCGAGGGGAGUGAAAAAGAACCUGAAACCGUGUACGUACAAGCAGUGGGAGCACCUUCGGGUGUGACUGCGUACCUUUUGUAUAAUGGGUCAGCGACUUAUAUUCUGUAGCAAGGUUAACCGUAUAGGGGAGCCGAAGGGAAACCGAGUCUUAACUGGGCGUUAAGUUGCAGGGUAUAGACCCGAAACC